rnacentral:lncRNA from 1 species
CCUUCCUAAAAUUUUCCAUUUCACAAACAUUAGUAUUGCAAGCAUGUUCACCAGUGAGCCUCUGGCCUGCUUUUGAAGAAUUACUGAACAAAAUGACUGAGGUCAAUAUAGGGCUUCUCAGAGGCUCUGCUAAUUCAUAUGUUCUAGGACGCUGAUCCCUUCAGACUAAAUGAAAAGCCACUGCUUUCUAAUGCCCGCUGUAUGUGGGGGAAGUGAAGAUGAAUAAGAAAAUAGGGUAGGCACAUCAGCAGAUCUCAUCCACCUCAGCCACCCUGAACUCUGAUCUCUGUCUCUUGACUUCAACUCAUUGAGACCACUCUGCUCUGCGAUGGAUUUCCCUGACUACAUCGUGGGUGACCAGGUUGGACUGAUCCUCCAGGCAAAAAGCUGGGGUGAUUGAGGACUCACAGCACUUGAAAGGAACACUUUCCCACUUUUGCAUUUCCUGCUCUCCAAUGUC